GACGAACGCUGGCGGCGUGCUUAGCACAUGCAAGUCGAACGGAAAGGCCCUGCUUUUGUGGGGUGCUCGAGUGGCGAACGGGUGAGUAACACGUGAGUAACCUGCCCUUGACUUUGGGAUAACUUCAGGAAACUGGGGCUAAUACCGGAUAGGAGCUCCUGCUGCAUGGUGGGGGUUGGAAAGUUUCGGCGGUUGGGGAUGGACUCGCGGCUUAUCAGCUUGUUGGUGGGGUAGUGGCUUACCAAGGCUUUGACGGGUAGCCGGCCUGAGAGGGUGACCGGCCACAUUGGGACUGAGAUACGGCCCAGACUCCUACGGGAGGCAGCAGUGGGGAAUAUUGCACAAUGGGCGGAAGCCUGAUGCAGCAACGCCGCGUGCGGGAUGACAGCCUUCGGGUUGUAAACCGCUUUCGCCUGUGACGAAGCGUGAGUGACGGUAAUGGGUAAAGAAGCACCGGCUAACUACGUG
rnacentral:rRNA from 1 species